rnacentral:rRNA from 1 species
CCUACGGGGGGCAGCAGUGAGGAAUAUUGGUCAAUGGACGCGAGUCUGAACCAGCCAAGUAGCGUGAAGGAUGACUGCCCUACGGGUUGUAAACUUCUUUUAUAAGGGAAUAAACUGUGCCACGUGUGCCAUUUUGUAUGUACUUUAUGAAUAAGGAUCGGCUAACUCCGUGCCAGCAGCCGCGGUAAUACGGAGGAUCCGAGCGUUAUCCGGAUUUAUUGGGUUUAAAGGGAGCGUAGAUGGGUUGUUAAGUCAGUUGUGAAAGUUUGCGGCUCAACCGUAAAAUUGCAAUUGAUACUGGCAGACUUGAGUACAGUAGAGGUAGGCGGAAUUCGUGGUGUAGCGGUGAAAUGCUUAGAUAUCACGAAGAACUCCGAUUGCGAAGGCAGCUUACUGGACUGCAACUGACACUGAGGCUCGAAAGUGUGGGUAUCAAACAGGAUUAGAUACCCGAGUAGUC